rnacentral:lncRNA from 1 species
UCCCAGCCAGGCCGCCGAAUAAGACCAAGGUACAGAAUUGUGUGUUCUUCAUCUGGGCUUUUGUCCUGCCCAUACCCAGCAGGCACACAGCCCAUAAAGCAGGAAAAGGAACCAAGGUGAAGGAGGCAGAAACUCUGCAGCCAGCAAGGAGGAGGUGCUAUCUCCCUGCAGGACAAAUUCACCAAGAGCCUAGAGAGAUGAAGAGAGAUGCCAGGAAGAAGAGAGACGCCAGGAAACAGAAGCCCACAGCUGGCAGAGCUGGGGCCUAGCUGUGGUCACUCUGGAGCCUGCCCCGUGGUGUUUUUAUGAGUGGUGGAAAGAACAGUGACAAUAUGGAGCCCACAAAGGAAGCUCAAGCAGUAACAUAGCAAGAGGGAAGACAAUUCAA